rnacentral:rRNA from 1 species
CAGUCCUACGGGGCGCAGCAGUGAGGAAUAUUGGUCAAUGGGCGAGAGCCUGAACCAGCCAAGUCGCGUGAGGGACGACGGCCCUACGGGUUGUAAACCUCUUUUGCCGGGGGACAAACGGCGGCACGCGUGCCGUCCUGAGGGUACCCGGAGAAAAAGCAUCGGCUAACUCCGUGCCAGCAGCCGCGGUAAUACGUAGGUGGCAAGCGUUAUCCGGAUUUACUGGGUGUAAAGGGCGUGUAGGCGGGACUGCAAGUCAGAUGUGAAAA